GAUACUCGAUUUAUAUUACAAUUAGUUCAUUAAUUGCCUAAACAAAGUACUCGUUAUCGGAGAAAUUUAAAGAAAGUUCGAAGGAAGUGUUAAUAUUUAUUUCACGAUAUUGUGCAAUGUUCAUUACCCGCGCAACGGUCGAAAAGAUAACGUUAUAAAAAUAUGGUAGGGAGGAAUUCUACGUAAGAGAUGUAUAGUUAAUUUCUGCACGUGAUAUCCUGUAAGGAUGUUACAUUUGUUAAAUCGAAAGGAAGUUUAUCCACUUAAGAAUAAUCAUCGUAAUUGAAAGAUUAGAACCUGUUUUAAAACGAGUAUUAUCGUCAUGUCUACCUUCAAUAUCACAAUGCAAGAGUGUAGUGAUAUAAAAAUGGGAGAUACGAGUAAAACUGUAAUUGUUGAUAACACCGAAAAAGUUAAGUUAAAGAUAUGCCAAGAUAAGCUAAUGAACAGAUACAAGACUACUUACGCAUAUAUGAGUUCCUCACUCUGGAAGGAAGGACACAAUGACUUUCCAAUUAAAGAAUGUUUUGUUGACGUUAAACUUCAAAAAACAGAUAUGAUAGGACGAAAAACGGGUGAAAUUAUACAAA
rnacentral:lncRNA from 1 species